rnacentral:rRNA from 1 species
UAACGGGGCCAGAGCCAGGCGGCGAAGACAUGGGUUUGCAGUUUACUGCAAGCGGUAGCGGAGCGUUCCGUAGGCCGGGGAAGGUCAACCGUGAGGUUGGCUGGAGGUAUCGGAAGUGAGAAUGCUGACAUGAGUAACGAUAAACAGAGUGAGAAACUCUGUCGCCGAAAGACCAAGGGUUCCUGCGUAAAGCUAAUCUGCGCAGGGUUAGUCGGCCCCUAAGGCGAGGCUGAAAAGCGUAGUCGAUGGGACGCAGGUAAAUAUUCCUGCACCAGCUGGAAGUGACGGAUGGCAUAACUUGUAAGGGCUUAUUGGAUUGUCCUUGCAGGGGCGUUGUCCCUGGAAAUAACUCCAGCAGAGACCGUACCCGAAACCGACACAGGUGGUCAGGUAGAGCAUACCAAGGCGCUUGAGAGAACUGUGCUGAAGGAACUCGGCAAAUUGCACGCGUAACUUCGGAAUAAGCGUGACUCACCCUGCGCAAGCAGGAAUGAGUGGCACAAGCCAGGGGGUAGCGACUGUUUAGCAAAAACACAGGGCUCUGCGAAGCAGCAAUGCGACGUAUAGGGUCUGACGCCUGCCCGGUGCCUGAAGGUUAAAGGGAGGAGUGAAAGCUCCGAACUGAAGCCCAGGUAAACGGCGGCCGUAACUAUAACGGUCCUAAGGUAGCGAAAUUCCUUGUCGGGUAAGUUCCGACCUGCACGAAUGGCGUAACGACUUCCCC